CCUACGGGAGACAGCAGUAGGGAAUAUUGCUCAAUGGGGGAAACCCUGAAGCAGCAACGCCGCGUGGAGGAUGAAGGUUUUCGGAUUGUAAACUCCUUUUGUUAGAGAAGAUAAUGACGGUAUCUAACGAAUAAGCACCGGCUAACUCCGUGCCAGCAGCCGCGGUAAUACGGAGGGUGCAAGCGUUACUCGGAAUCACUGGGCGUAAAGGGCGCGUAGGCGGGAUAGCAAGUCAGAUGUGAAAUCCUAUGGCUUAACCAUAGAACUGCAUUUUAAACUGUUAUUCUAGAGUAUGGGAGAGGUAGGUGGAAUUCUUGGUGUAGGGGUAAAAUCCGUAGAGAUCAAGAGGAAUACUCAUUGCGAAGGCGACCUGCUAGAACAUAACUGACGCUGAUGCGCGAAAGCGUGGGGAGCAAACAGGAUUAGAUACCCGUGUAGUC
rnacentral:rRNA from 1 species